GAGUAAUUUUAACGGAAUACCUUCGGGUAGGAAGAUAAAAGCGCGAGCGUUCGGAUGGGUGAGUAACACGUGGGCAACCUACCCUUUAGCUUGGGAUACCACUUGGAAACAGGUGCUAAUACCAAAUAAGAAGCAAGAGCGCAUGCUCAAGCUAUGAAAGGCGGCUUUCGAGCUGUCACUAAAGGAUGGGCCCGCGGUGCAUUAGCUAGUUGGUAAGGUAACGGCUUACCAAGGCAAUGAUGCAUAGCCGAGUUGAGAGACUGAUCGGCCACAUUGGGACUGAGACACGGCCCAAACUCCUACGGGAGGCAGCAGUAGGGAAUCUUCCACAAUGGACGCAAGUCUGAUGGAGCAACGCGCGUGAGUGAAGAAGGUUUUCGGAUCGUAAAGCUCUGUUGUUGGUGAAGAAGGAUAGGGRUAGUAACUGAUUCUUAUUUGACGGUAAUCAACCAGAAAGUCACGGCUAACUACGUGCCAGCAGCCGCGGUAAUACGUAGGUGGCAAGCGUUGUCCGGAUUUAUUGGGCGUAAAGCGAACGCAGGCGGGAGAACAAGUCAGCUGUGAAAGCCCUCGGCUUAACCSGGGAAGUGCAGCUGAAACUGUUUUUCUUGAGUGCAGAAGAGGAGAGUGGAACUCCAUGUGUAGCGGUGGAAUGCGUAGAUAUAUGGAAGAACACCAGUGGCGAAGGCGGCUCUCUGGUCUGUAACUGACGCUGAGGUUCGAAAGCAUGGGUAGCGAACAGGAUUAGAUACCUGGGUAGUCCAUGCCGUAAACGAUGAGUGCUAAGUGUUGGGAGGUUU
rnacentral:rRNA from 1 species